CUUUGGUGAAGCUAGACAUGUCUCUACUUUCAGCUCUCGUUGACAGAUGGAGACCUGAGACACACACGUUCCACCUCCCUUGUGGGGAGAUGGCACCGACCCUGCAGGACGUUGCGAUGCUGCUUGGUCUUUCUAUCACCGGAGACGCUGUUGGGCCCCGCGUGGUACCUUCUACGUGGCUGGAGGAUCUUGAGGAAUGUUUUGUAGGUGUUGCCACCAUGAUUGAUCCUAAAGAUUUCAAUGAGCACCCACAGUCGAAAGGCCCUUCCAAGUCAUGGCUCCUACAGUUUCAGCCGGAUCUGUUGGCAGCUGAUGUUGAUGAGUACAGCGUGACUAGAUCACUCGAGGCAUACCUGCUGUGGUUGUUUGGGUACAUCAUGUUCAACAACUCACACGGCCACUGUGUGGAUAGGGUGCUUCUGCCCUAUGCACAGGAGAUCGCCGAUGCAGAUGAGGAUGUCAUACCCUUAUAUAGUUGGGGUUCAGCGGUUCUUGCAUGCACAUAUCGUGGACUCUGCAAAGCAUCACGGCAGAAUGAUAGGAAUGCUGUCCUAACGGGGUGCCCAAUUCUGCUAUAGCUUUGGUCUUACGAGAGGAUUGCUAUCGGUCGUCCCAUAAUUGACCAGUCACCGCACAAGCCGGAUAUGUACGGUGACACGGAGGACGACAGACCCACCAUGGGGACUCUCUGGUACUCUCGACAGAAAACAUGGACACAUGUACAGACCCGGCGGUCUUAUCCUGAGUUUGUUACCGAAUUUGAUCGAUUGACCCCAGAAGACAUUGUGUGGGAGCCAUAUAGUCCUUCGGCUAUAGCCGCACGUGCACCGCUUGGGAUAUCUUCAGUGUGCACACAGGACCAGGGCCUAUGGAUGGAUACUGCAGCUUUGGUGUAUGACGUUGCAGUUGAGGCCCACUGCCCGGAUAGAGUCAUGAGGCACUUUGGUCGACGUCAGUCUUUCCCUGUGUCUUCAGCGUUGGAUCGUGUUCAGCGCCACGAUCAUAGUUUAUCAAGGGCUGGACAUCCUUUCUCGUCAAUGUGG